rnacentral:rRNA from 1 species
UACGUAGGGACCGAGCGUUGUCCGGAAUCAUUGGGCGUAAAGAGCGUGUAGGCGGCCAACUAAGUCCUGCGUGAAAUCUCGGGGCUCAACCCCGAGCGGUCGUGGGAAACUGGUUGGCUAGAGUGCGGGAGAGGAGAGUGGAAUUCCUGGUGUAGCGGUGAAAUGCGCAGAUAUCAGGAAGAACACCAAUGGCGAAGGCAGCUCUCUGGGACGGUACUGACGCUGAGACGCGAAAGCGUGGGGAGCAAACAGG